AUGCUUGGGAACAUGCCUUGAGGUGGGGGACAACCAUUGGAAACGAUGGCUAAUACCGCAUAAUGUCUACGGACCAAAGGGGGCUUCGGCUCUCGCCUUUAGAUUGGCCCAAGUGGGAUUAGCUAGUUGGUGAGGUAACGGCUCACCAAGGCGACGAUCCCUAGCUGGUUUGAGAGGAUGAUCAGCCACACUGGAACUGAGACACGGUCCAGACUCCUACGGGAGGCAGCAGUGGGGAAUAUUGCACAAUGGGCGCAAGCCUGAUGCAGCCAUGCCGCGUGUGUGAAGAAGGCCUUAGGGUUGUAAAGCACUUUCAGUCAGGAGGAAAGGUUAGUAGUUAAUACCUGCUAGCUGUGACGUUACUGACAGAAGAAGCACCGGCUAACUCCGUGCCAGCAGCCGCGGUAAUACGGAGGGUGCGAGCGUUAAUCGGAAUUACUGGGCGUAAAGCGUACGCAGGCGGUUUGUUAAGCGAGAUGUGAAAGCCCCGGGCUUAACCUGGGAACUGCAUUUCGAACUGGCAAACUAGAGUGUGAUAGAGGGUGGUAGAAUUUCAGGUGUAGCGGUGAAAUGCGUAGAGAUCUGAAGGAAUACCGAUGGCGAAGGCAGCCACCUGGGUCAACACUGACGCU
rnacentral:rRNA from 1 species